UUUCGAAUCAUUCACAAUGGGCGAAAGCCUGAUGGUGCGACGCCGCGUGAGGGAUGAAGGUCUUCGGAUUGUAAACCUCUGUCACCGGGGAAGAAACGCUUCAAGUUAACAGCUUGAAGCCUGACUUAACCCGGAGAGGAAGCAGUGGCUAACUCUGUGCCAGCAGCCGCGGUAAUACAGAGACUGCGAGCGUUAUUCGGAUUCACUGGGCGUAAAGGGUGCGCAGGUGGCUAAGUGUGUUAGGCGUGAAAGCCCGGGGCUUAACCCCGGAAUUGCACCUAAAACUACUUGGCUAGAGCAUUGGAGAGGGGAGCAGAAUUCAUGGUGUAGCAGUGAAAUGCGUAGAUAUCAUGAGGAAUACCAGAGGCGAAGGCGGCUCCCUGGACAAUUGCUGACACUCAGGCACGAAAGCGUGGGGAGCAAAAG
rnacentral:rRNA from 1 species